CAUUUGUUUCCAUUAAUUGAAACUGGUUACUACAUAAAAAAAACACCAAUUAAGAACAAAAUAUAUUUUCACAAAUGACUGUGCAGGUAUACACUUUAAUAAAACAUACAUAUAUCAGAAAAUUGACAGUAUUUAUUCUGGAGACUUUCUAUCAUCAUCAGAAUCUGCAGGACAUUCUGGAGAUUGAUCUUGUUUGUCACUUAAUCUAUUCUGAUCGUUUUCUUGGGGAGAAUGGGAACGAGAACGGGAUCGUGAUCUGCAAACAAAAACAAGAUGUUAUUAAAUAAAAAUAUAUUAAAUGAGUAUACGUACUUUCUGACAAGUUUUUCACAAAAAAAUUGAUCAAGUGUCUCC
rnacentral:lncRNA from 1 species